rnacentral:ncRNA from 21 species
AUUAAUUCUCAGGGCGGGGUGGAAUUCCCCACCGGCGGUGUACUUUUUUAAGUGAGCCCGCGAGCGCUCGAUAUUUUUGAGGUCAGCAGAUCUGGUUAGAAGCCAGAGCCGACGGUUAUAGUCCGGAUGAGAGAGAAUUUAA